GUGUGUGUGUCCCUCUCUCUCGCUCCCCCACUUUUCGAAGUGACUUUACUGCUUUCAAACAUGUAGGCAAGCACCUUUUCCCCUUGUGUUAACCUGCGCUCUAAUUUCUCCUCUCCGCGUCGUCCCGUGGGGUGGUGGUGAUGGGUUUGUUGCCAUUUUGGUGGUGGGUUUAGGUUGUUGGGCUUCCCUUUUCUCACGGCCAUGGUUCCGGGACCAAUGCGUCUGUCCCCUCUCAGAGCUUGCAGCAUGAUGGUUCAGUUCGCUUGGAUGUUUCCCCAGAGGUAAGAGUACUAAACACUGCAUCGCAGAGGACGCAAACGACGGGCCAAUUAGAAUGAGAUCGUAUAGGAUGUAUUAUGCCAUGCGGGCGUGUACGAGUUCACGAAGAUAAUACAGAGGUUCCAAUUGGAAAAAGGAGGUAAGGUGGGGAUGAAAAAGGAGACUCGGCUCCAGUGGAGCGCACUAUGAGCACUCCAUGUGUUUGUCAAAAUGGCGUGCUGGUCCCUCUCCGGUAU
rnacentral:lncRNA from 1 species